rnacentral:rRNA from 1 species
CAGUAGCCCGGGAAUACGAAGGGAGCUAGCGUUGUUCGGAUUUACUGGGCGUAAAGGGCGCGUAGGCGGGCGAAUAAGUCAGGGGUGAAAUCCCAAGGCUCAACCUUGGAACUGCCUUUGAUACUGUUUGUCUUGAGUUCGAGAGAGGUAAGUGGAACUGCGAGUGUAGAGGUGAAAUUCGUAGAUAUUCGCAAGAACACCAGUGGCGAAGGCGGCUUACUGGCUCGAAACUGACGCUGAGGCGCGAAAGCGUGGGGAGCAAACAGGAUUAGAUACCCCCGUAGUCCCUGUCUCUUAUACA